rnacentral:piRNA from 1 species
UGCAUAUGUGACCACACCAACACAAGA